UAGCCGUAAACGAUACUCGCUAGGUGUCGGCCACGGUGCGACCGUUGUCGGUGCCGUAGGGAAGCCGUGAAGCGAGCCACCUGGGAGGUACGGCCGCAAGGCUGAAACUUAAAGGAAUUGGCGGGGGAGCACAACAACGGGUGGAGCUUGCGGUUUAAUUGGACUCAACGCCGGGAAGCUCACCGGAUAAGACAGCGGAAUGAUUGCCGGGCUGAAGACCCUGCAUGACCAGCUGAGAGGUGGUGCAUGGCGUGUGACUGU
rnacentral:rRNA from 1 species